AACAACACACAACAUUCCAGGAAUGUACUACCAAAGUUCUAUCAAUAUUUGAAUGUCCUGGACAUUUAGGGAACAUUCGGUGAACAUCUGUUUAAAUUAUUCCUGGAAUGUUACCAUAAGACAUUCUGUGAACAUACUACCAAUGUUCCUAUAUUUUAAGUUGCGAAAUAAUACAUACGUGUAAGAGAUACAACAUUACUUAUAACAUACCAGACAAACUAAGUGACAUUUUAGGCCUACAGUGCAAUAAUAUGUCAAAUUUAAAGAGUUUCCCAAGAUUAUAAACAUACAAAUGUAAUAAAAAUUAUUGUUCGCGAAUAUUCAAUUUGGAAUGCGAUUUUGUUAAUAAAAAAAUACUUAUAACUUAUGCAAAACCCAAGAGAGGCAUUUAUAUUUAUUUCUUUUGCGUUAAUUUUCAAAUUCGCCGUGCAUAUAUUUUUGUGCAUGGCGCUUGAGAGGGCAUCACGUGACUAAAAACGACCAACCAACGACCUCGCUUCGGCCAUCUUGGCAUCUUCAUCUUGGCGACCUUGCCUUGCCGUGGAUUGUUUUUAGUUGCUUGUAUUAUUUGUGCUUUUUAAGAAUAUUUUUUUAAUUCGGAUACUUUUAUAAUAGCUUUAAUAGUAUUAUUAACAUAGUGCAUAAAAUGGUGUCCUGUUUUUAACGCAGUUGGAGUAGCAGAAACAAAUGUAGAUAAAAAAAUCUGCAGGAAUAACGUUUCAAUUAUGACAGAAGCUCAAAACAAAUGACUGUGAAUGAAAAGCCCUAUUAAAAGCUUUCCAGAAGAUCCUGCGAAGAAGACAUGAAGUAUAGAUCAGAUUUGUUAAUAGAGGAGUAUGUUCAAAACACUUUUUAGAAAAAGAUAUUGACAGAACUUCACUUUCAUCUGUUCGUUUGAGAGACUGUGCUGUUCCAAUAGCUUAUGUCACACAGAAUCAGCUGAGAGAAGUGGUCUACAAAAAACCAGAAAGGAAACGGAAUAUGUGGCUACGAAAAGCAAAAGAAAGGUUUACAAAGCAAAUGUGACACAUUUUUUUAUAAUAUUUAGGAAUGUCAGCAAAUUACAUUAAAAAAUGUAUGUAAAGAUUUUUUGCAAUAAAAAUGUUUAUAUUUA
rnacentral:lncRNA from 1 species